UACGAAGGGUGCAAGCGUUACUCGGAAUUACUGGGCGUAAAGCGUGCGUAGGCGGUUUGUUAAGUCUGUCGUGAAAGCCCCGGGCUCAACCUGGGAAUGGCGAUGGAUACUGGCGAGCUAGAGUACGGUAGAGGAGAGUGGAAUUCCCGGUGUAGCAGUGAAAUGCGUAGAGAUCGGGAGGAACAUCAGUUGCGAAGGCGGCUCUCUGAACCAGUACUGACGCUGAGGCACGAAAGCGUGGGGAGCAAACAGG
rnacentral:rRNA from 1 species